GGCUUUUUCCUUCUUCUCUCUUUCCUUCUCAGUUUCCUCUCUUCUUCAGGUUUUGUUAUUUAUAUCACUAAGAACUCUUCUUCUUCUUCUUCUUCUUUGACUUCAAGAUCUCUCAUAUCUGGGCUUACACUAAUUUAAGUCUUAGCCAUGGGUGGUGGUGGUGAUCACAAAGAGAAGACCACUAUAAUGGUGCCCAAGGUUGAUCUUUAGUGCCCUUGCUGCUACAAGAAGACCAAGAAAAUUCUCUGCAAAAUCCCCCAAGUUAGAAACCAGUUGUAUGAUGAAAAGGCAAAUACUGUCACUAUUACUGUAGUGUGCUGCAGUCCUGAAAGGAUUCGUGACAAAUUGUGUUGUAAAGGAGGAAAAACGAUCAAGAGCAUUGAGAUCAAAGAGCCCGCGAAGCCCAAGGAGCCCGAGCAGAAGAAGCCUCCUUCUGACAGGCAAGUUCCUCCUAGUAGUUCGAAAGGGGCUGAGACAUCCGGGGCUCUUGAUAAGCAAAAGGACGGUCGUACAGCUGCGAUGGUGGCAACACCGUGGAUGUCAGAGCCAAUGAUGAUUAUGCCGCCAGUCCAAGGAUACCCUCAGGCAGCACAUGGAUGUGGUUGCGAGCAAUGUUACUAUACGGGGGGCCCGUGUUAUCAGUCUUACGGAACGACAGCACCGCCACAGCCCGCCCCAUAUUACAGUAACUACUCAUAUAGUUAUGGGCCUGGGUCUGGCCCAUCUAGCUAUGGAAAGGGCUGAUGAGAAUGCUCAAGGAUGUAUAAUUAUGUAAAUGUGACCCAAUUAGUGUGGGUCACUGAAUAGGGCCUUCUUUGUGCUUUUUCUUGGGCUUUUGCAAAAUGUCCAUAACAAAGUUUUGGGCUUUACGUUUGACUACUUAACUUUUUGAAGAAAA